AUCGCGAGGCCGUGGCCGAGCUGGCGCGCGGCGAGGCGCACGCCGUCGCCAGGGAGGUCUUCGAGGAGCAGUGCGCCCCCGCGGCGGAGAACGCCGCGCGGACC
rnacentral:SRP_RNA from 17 species